rnacentral:rRNA from 1 species
CGUAGGUGGCAAGCGUUGUCCGGAGUUUAUUGGGUUUAAAGGGUGCGUAGGCGGCCCUGUAAGUCAGUGGUGAAAUAUCUCAGCUUAACUGAGAGGGUGCCAUUGAUACUGCGGGGCUUGAGUACAGAUGAGGUAGGCGGAAUUGACGGUGUAGCGGUGAAAUGCAUAGAUAUCGUCAAGAACACCGAUAGCGAAGGCAGCUUACCAAGCUGUAACUGACGCUGAGGCACGAAAGUGUGGGGAUCAAACAGGAUUAGAUACCCUGGUAGUCCACACUGUAAACGUUGAUGACUCGAUGUUGGCGAUACACAGCCAGCGUCCAAGAGCAAUCGUUAAGUCAUCCACCUGGGGAGUACGCCGGCAACGGUG